CAAAGCAGGAAAUUCCUUCCCUGGAAAGUCAUCCAUGCAUCCUCGACUACUUCACUGGAUGGUCAGAUGUGUCCUUACCUCGGGGGACCUGCAGGCAAGAUAAGCACUGCAGGGUAGAGGAAGAUGGUUAACAGUGCCAGCAAGAUGUUGCCUGAGUGCUGACAUUUCUGGGUCAACUUUCUGAUUUCAGAGCUUCCCAACCACCUUGGCUGCAUCCUGGAGCAUGGAUGAACACAGUACCUUGGCCCAAACGGGCUGUCAAGUGAUAUGCCAUACAUCAUAGAAUGGGUUGGGCUGGAAGGGACCUUAAAGCUCCUCCAGCUCCAACCCCUGCCACAGGCAGGGACACCUUCCACUAGAGCAGGUUGCUCCAAGCCCCUGUGUCCAACCUGGCCUUGAACACUGGCAGGGAUGGGGCAGCCACAGCUUCUCUGGGCACCCUGUGCCAGUGCCUCAGCACCCUCACAGGGAAGAGCUUCUGCCUAGGAGCUCAUCUCAGUCUCCCCUCUGGCAGGUUAAAGCCAUUCCCCUUGUCCUGUCCCUACAGGCCCUUGUCCAAAGCCCCUCUCCUUCUUUCUUGCAGUCCCUUCAGGCACUGGAAGCUGCUCUGAGGUCUCCCCUUAAGGAGCCUUCUCUUCCCCAGGCUGAACAAGCCCAGCUCUCUCAGCCUUUCCUCACAGGAGAGGUGCUCCAGCCUCUGGGAUGUCCCAGGGUGCAUUGCAUCAGGUCCCAUGGAGUUAUAUGUGUUCAGGUUCCUCAGGUGGUCACAAACGUGAUCUCCUACAACACGAGGGUCUUCAUUCCCCCAGUCCCUGCCUUAAGCUUGAGAGAUGCAGGAACAGAUACUACCAUCAAGAACUGAAGCAAGAAAAUCACUGAGUACAAUCACGCAGCACGUUCUCUGGUCGCCAGCAGGGCAGCUCAAUGAGCCUCCCAGCAGUGAAGACGCAAUUGCAAAUGACCUGACUUUAGUCCAAAUUCUUUCCAAAGAACGAUAAGAUAACAGAGAUCUUUUACGCAAUCAAGGACAUGGAACAAUUUCUCCUUCAUCUAUGUUCAUUUUCCGUGAUUUAACUACUUCCAUGCAGGCUCAGGAGUGCUGCUUUGGAAUAAGCCUUUGCAAGAGUGCCUUAUUUUUAGACUGGAGCCUGAAGUCAGGGAAAUCCCCAGCUGACCCCAAACUCUUUUCAGCAAAUAAUUACAUAAAGAUAUUCCCAUUGAUCCAAAUUCCAUCCAAGGUAUUAGACUGACACAUACAGAACAGGGCUAAUAUUUCAUUUUUAUGCAGUUAUUCAAUUUGGAUAAAUUAAAUGCUUUUGAAACUAAGCAGCAUGUUGAGAAAAGGAAGUUGACUUCAGCUUGAACCCCAAUUAGAUGCUUAAUUCACCAUUAGGAAUUGAUGAGCAUUAAUCAUCUGGGAAUGGAAAUUAGAUUUGACUGAUGGGUAAUGGUUACGUUGCUGGAGUAGACAUUCCUGGAGGAGUGCAGUUACAAAUGUGAUUAAGAAAUGUACCAAAGAAAUUUGACAUGGAAAAAAAUUGGUAUGAAAAGAAUCACACAAGACCUGAAACAAAGAGCUGGUCUGCCUACAACAUGCUACUCACUGGAGGGCCUGUGCAUCCCACAGCACUGAGAGCACCUCCUCCAAGCACAGGGACAACUGCACACGGAGACAGUUGUGGACAUAGGAGUUUUGGGGUACUUGCUUCCUCACAUGUGACGGUAUAAAAACUUUGGGCCACCCUCUGCAGACUGGAGCAUGAGCAGCAACAUCCUU